rnacentral:rRNA from 1 species
GGGGGGGGGGGGGGGGGGGGGGGGGGGGGGGGGGUGGGGGGGGGGGGGGGGGCGGGGGCCGGGGGGCGGCGGGGGGCGGGGGGGGGAGGCCUAGGAAGCUGGCUGGUGGGGGGGGAUAACGUCGGGGAACGGGGGCUAAUACCGCAUACGUCAUGGGGGAGAGAGGGGGGGAUCUUCGGACCGCACGCUAUCAGAUGAUCCUAGGUCGGGUUAGCUAGUUGGUGGGGUAAAGGCCUACCAAGGCGACGAUCCGUAACUGAUCUGAGAGGAUGAUCAGUCACACUGGAACUGAGACACGGUCCAGACUCCUACGGGAGGCAGCAGUGGGGAAUAUUGGACAAUGGGCGAAAGCCUGAUCCAGCAAUGCCGCGUGUGUGAAGAAGGUCUUCGGAUUGUAAAGCACUUUAAGUUGGGAGGAAGGGCAGUAAGUUAAUACCUUGCUGUUUUGACGGUACCAACAGAAUAAGCACCGGCUAACUUCGUG